CAAUGGGAUGCGAAUCUCGAAAGCCUGUCUCAGUUCGGAUUGGAGGCUGAAACCCGCCUCCAUGAAGUUGGAUUCGCUAGUAAUCGCGCAUCAGCCAUGGCGCGGUGAAUACGUUCCCGGGCCUUGUACACACCGCCCGUCAAGCCAUGGGAGCCGGGGGUGCCUGAAGUUCGUGACCGCAAGGAGCGACCUAGGGCAAAACUGGUGACUGGGGCUAAGUCGUAACAAGGUACC
rnacentral:rRNA from 1 species